rnacentral:rRNA from 1 species
UACGAAGGGGGCUAGCGUUGUUCGGAAUCACGUGGCGUAAAGGCGCACGCAGGCGGAUUGAUAAGUCAGGGGUGGAAAUCCCGGAGCUCAACUUCGGACUUGCAGUGGGUACGGGCAGACUAGAGUGUGGUAGGGGAGACUGGAAUUCCGUGGUGUAGCGGUGAAAUGCGCAGAUAUCAGGAAGAACACCGAUGGCGAAGGCAGGUCUCUGGGCCACUACUGACGCUGAGAAGCGAAGCAUGGGGAGCGAACAGG